CACAUGGAUGUUCCUGUCUAGGCUAGAAGAAAGAAUUGACAUAAAAUAGAUGCUGAAACAUGGAGGGAGUACAACCGUAUUUAUGGUUUUCUCUGCCCACCUGGGAAAAGUAACCUUGCAUGAAAACACAUGUAUGUGUGUGAGGUUACUUUUUUAAACAAUCCCUCAUAUUUGAUUGAAAUGGAAUAUGCCACCAUGUAUAUUUAAGAUUAAAGCUUUAUUUUUAAAGGCCUGUAAUCCUUUCAAGGAGAUUUUGUUGAUAUAAGACUUCAUUGGAAAGUAAUUGUGGAUUGUACAGCUCUGACCUUUGCAGGAAGCAGGGUGCAGGUCUGCACAGCCGAGAAACACUGCAUCAAUUUCUUGUGAAGCCCCUGCAGACCAGCUAACUCUAAGGAGGCUGUGAUGCAUGCGAAGGGAAGUGACUGACUUAACUCAUUGGGAUUCAGGGAACGACCUGCCCUCUUUUG